CAGUAGCCGCGGUAAUACGUAGGUGGCAAGCGUUGUUCGGAAUUACUGGGCGUAAAGCGCGUGUAGGCGGGUCCUUAAGUCAGGGGUGAAAUGCCAAGGCUCAACCUUGGAACUGCCUUUGAUACUGGGGAUCUUGAGUCCGGGAGAGGUGAGUGGAACUGCGAGUGUAGAGGUGAAAUUCGUAGAUAUUCGCAAGAACACCAGUGGCGAAGGCGGCUCACUGGCCCGGAACUGACGCUGAGACGCGAAAGCGUGGGGAGCAAACAGGAUUAGAUACCCCCGUAGUCCCUGUCUCUUAUAA
rnacentral:rRNA from 1 species